GAGAAAUGAAGAGAACAGAUAACCACCUGAUAUCCUAAUGAAGACUGUUCUAAUCCAACUCUGAUCUCACGCUCUGA